rnacentral:rRNA from 1 species
UACGAAGGGGGCUAGCGUUGCUCGGAAUCACUGGGCGUAAAGGGUGCGUAGGCGGGUCUUUUAAGUCAGGGGUGAAAUCCUGGAGCUCAACUCCAGAACUGCCUUUGAUACUGAGGAUCUUGAGUCCGGGAGAGGUGAGUGGAACUGCGAGUGUAGAGGUGAAAUUCGUAGAUAUUCGCAAGAACACCAGUGGCGAAGGCGGCUCACUGGCCCGGUACUGACGCUGAGGUGCGAAAGCGUGGGGAGCAAACAGGAUUAGAACCUCAGUA